rnacentral:lncRNA from 1 species
CUGCGCCGCAGUGUGCUGUACCUGGAAACCGGAGAUUUGCGGUGUUCGCUACCGACUCAUCAGGGUCACCGGCACAACACUUUAUUCUCUGGGGAGGUGCGGGGGGGGGGCUCGCUUUGCCUCGGAGAGACCCCCUCCUCUAGGUGUGAAAGAUGCUAGCCCAGCGCCCAUAGGGUGUCGAAAACAACAUAGAAGGGUUCGAAACUCAGGAAACCCCGGCGAUCGCCUGCGCUAGCACAGACACACGGUCCCGCGCACACUCAGUCCGCGCCCGCCCUUCCUCCCUCCCUGAUUUGCUUCUGGGAAAACAAGCCUUGAGAGCUGCGGACUCGCCCCUAGUCACGGUGCUUAAGCAGGAGUCCCUGUAGAAACAAGCUGAAAACACCCCCUGCCUCACUGGUGGAUUCAUAUCCUGUGCGGCCUCUAGGAAGCGCUAGACACAUGCUUGCUUCAGAAAGUCAUCUUCUCACAUCACCUGGCAAUACAAGGGACUUCAAGAACAUAGAGAAGAACAGAGCCCUUGAUCUCUGAAUGACCCUGUGGAAGGAUACUCAAUG